CCCUGCUAUUCCAUUAUAAAAUAAUAUUUCAAUAUAAAACCAAAUAAAUUUGACGGAAUUAACUUUUACAAAGGAUUUUGUUUUGAUUAAUCGAAAACACGCGUGUUACCUCACUUAAAAUAUAUUUGUAUACCACCGUAUACGAAAUUUCCUAACAUAAAUUUCAAAAUAAAACUUCUUAUAAAAUCAGGUCAAGGUGCAAUAUUUUUAAGUCAAAAUGAAAUACAAUAAUAAAUUAUUUAAAUAAUCCUUCUGAAAAGAAGGUUAAACAGAAUUUGUUAGUAAACAAAAAUCAUUAUGUUUUUUUGAAGAACCUUCAUUAAUUAGUACAUAUCGCCCG
rnacentral:rRNA from 1 species